ensembl:lncRNA
CUCCAUUGUAUAUUCUUGCCUCCUUUGUCAAAGAUAAGGUGUCCAUAUGUGUGUGGAUUUAUCUCUGGGCUUUCUAUUUUGUUCCAUUGAUCUAUAUGUCUGUCUUUGUGCCAGUACCAUACUGUCUUGAUGACUGUGGCUUUGUGGUAGAGCCUGAAGUCAGUCAGGUUGAUUCCUCCAGUUCCAUUCAUCUUUCUCAAGAUUGCUUUGGCUAUUUGAGUUUUUUUGUAUUUCCAUACAAAUUGUGAAAUUAUUUCUUCUACCUCUGUGAAAAAUACUGCUGGUAGCUUGAUAGGGAUUGCAUUGAAUCUGUAAAUUGCUUUAGGUAGUAUACUCAUUUUCACUAUAUUGAUUCUUCCGAUCCAAGAGCAUGGUAUAUUUUUCCAUCUAUUAGUGUCCUCUUUGAUUUAUUUCACCAGUGUUUUAUAGUUUUCUAUAUAUAGGUCUUUAGUUUCUUUCAUAUUCCUUAGUAUUUUAUUCUUUUCAUUGCAAUGGUGAAUGGAAGUGUUUCCUUAAUUUCUCUAUUUUCUCAUUAUUAGUGUAUAGGAAUGCAAGGGAUUUCUGUAUGUUGAUUUUAUAUCCUGCAAUUUUACUAUAUUCAUUGAUUAGCUCUAGUAAUUUUCUGGUGGAGUCUUUAGGCUUUUCUAUGUAGAGGAUCAUGUCAUCUGCAAACAGCAAAAGUUUUACUUCUUCUUUUCCAAUUUGGAUUCCUUUUAUUUCUUUUUCUGCUCUGAUUGCUGUGGCCAAAAUUUCCAGAACUAUGUUGAAUAGUAGCGGUGAAAGUGGGCACCCUUGACUUGUUCCUGAUUUUACGGGGAAUUCUUUCAACUUUUCACCAUUGAGAAUAAUGUUUGCUGUGGGUUUGUCAUAUAUAGCUUUUAUUAUGUUGAGGUAUGUUCCUUCUAUUCCUGCUUUCUGGAGAGUUUUUGUCAUAAAUGGAUAUAAUUGAAUUUUGUCAAAGGGUUUUUCUGCAUCUAUUGAGAUAAUCAUAUGUCUUUUAUUUUUCGAUUUGUUAAUGUGGUAUAUUACACUGAUUGAUUUGCAGAUAUUGAAGAAUCCUUGCAUCCCUGGGAUAAAGCCCACUUGGUCAUGGUGUAUGAUCUUUUAAAUGUGUUGUUGGAUUCUGAUUACUAGAAUUUUGUUAAGGAUUUUUGCAUCUAUGUUCAUCAGUGAUAUUGACCUGUAGUUUUCUUUUUUUGUGUCAUCUUUGUCAGGUUUUGGUAUUAGGGUGAUGGUGGCCUCAUAGAAUGAG